CAGGUGGUUCUCACUAUUGUCGAUUUUGUUCGAGCGAGUUUGACUUCCCACGGGGACUAUCAGCAACAUUCUUGCAGGAGUUUGGUAAUUUCAAGUCUCCAAUGUACUCAAGACUUCCUCAGUAUUGACACCACCGCUGCCAUUGGUGAUCGAUGACGGUAGUUGAGUCGAGUAGAAGAUCAGGUGUGGUUCAAGCAACACUAUCGGAGAGAUGUGGGUAUCAUUCACAGGGAAUUCCUACUCUUUUUUUCGAUGCCAUCAAUUACCUAAUUCACAUGAAAAAUCUAUGGAUCAAGGUUGAAUCAAGCAGAGGGCAGAACACGAAAGGCGCGUACACGGUUAUUUGUUGAUCAUGGAAAUUAGGAGAAGAAGGUGAUGCAACUGGUCUGUCAAUAUGAGGUUCGUUUGCAAAGAUACAUAGCUAUGAUUGAUAUGCGGACUAAUGCUUUAUUAUGAAAGAUUGAUGCCUCUUUGAAGCAAUCAUAUGCCUUUUAUGCUGCAUUUGAUGGAAUUCCAGGGCUACAGGCAUCUGGAGCAUAUAUAUUUUCCAUCCAAAUGGUAAAUAUUCUAUUGGCUCUCAGAAGCAGAUUCGUGACGAUAGAGUUGAGUGGGAUCUUGAAGUGAAUCAACUUAUUGCAUGAAACUGUUAUCCUUUUGUAGUGGAAAUAAUGGCUAUUAUUACAAAUUUCCUCACAAUAGACAUUUAGACUAAAUAUUUUUGUGGUGUGAAUAAUGUUUCUUUGGUUUAUGGUAGUGGAAAUGUGGCUUCAGGAUA